AUUGAACGCUGGCGGCAGGCCUAACACAUGCAAGUCGAGCGAGCGGCGGACGGGUGAGUAAUGUCUGGGAAACUGCCUGAUGGAGGGGGAUAACUACUGGAAACGGUAGCUAAUACCGCAUACCAUCAGAUGUGCCCAGGUGGGAUUAGAUAGUCGGUGGGGUAAUGGCUCACCUAGGCGACGAUCCCUAGCUGGGCUGAGAGGAUGACCAGCCACACUGGAACCGAGGCACGGGCGAGACGCCUACGGGAGGUAGCGGUGGGGGAGGUUGCACAAUGGGCGCAAGCCUGAUGCAGCUAUUCCGGGUGUGUGAAGAGGGCCUUCGGGUUGUAAAGCACGUUCAGCGGGGAGGCGUUACCCGCAGAAGAAGCACCGGCUAACUCCGUGCCAGCAGCCGCGGUAAUUC
rnacentral:rRNA from 1 species